UUUUUCUUUCCACAGUUUAACCAAACAAUAGAUGUAACAAUUCUUUUCCUAUACUUUCCUUCAUAAAUUUGAACUAUACAAACAAUUAGUUAUUAUAUUCUUUUCUUUCUUUAAUCUUUCCUUACUUUCUUUUAAUUUUAUUUAUCUAAAUAUAGGUCAAAUUAAUCUAUAUAAGUAACUCAUGUUAAAACAUGUCUACCAAAUAUAACAAAAAGUAUGUACAAAUAACGACUGCAAAUUACAUACAAGUACAACCCAAUAUAGUCAAUGUUCGCUGUAACAUCCUUCCAUCGUUUGAUUUGAGCACAAUUUGUUGGUGUAAGCAGUGACCAGGUAAUGCGUCAUUUACUGCGGAAACUCAAAAUACAAAUAGAGUGAAAUCCGCGCCCUAACUUCAUUGAUUGAUGCAAGGAGACAAACAUCGAUACGUGCACUAAAACAUAAGAAGAAAAGAAGUUUCAUUUUCAUCUUUUUAGUCAUAAAAUUCAACUAAAAUUCACCUACCCCACCGCGCAAUCUACUUAGAAAUUGUAGUAAUAAUAAAGUAUUCAGUACUCCAGUCAUCAAAGACAGGUGUUUGUGUACAAUUUUCUAUGGACAAUCACUGCCCACUCAUCUCCCCGAAAAUGGAUGUUGUUUAUUCUUUGACGUUCAAGUCGAACUUGGAAGUCUAUCGUCAAUUCAAAAUUUUAAUCCUCACCACCACCAUUAUUAGGUGAAUUUAAUUGCCACCACAAUUGUCAUUGAGUUUCAAAUUUUCGUUUUUAUAUAUUGGCCUCCGCUUGGAUUAUAUAGGAAUCGGUAAAAAAACAUUUUAACCAACUGUAUCUGAUUAUUGCUCUGGAUUAUACGUGACACAUAUCGUACUAAGGUUGAUUGAUUUUCAAUUUGGAGUCGAUGCCAACACAGCAAGUAGCACUCGAGGAAGAUAUGCAAGAAUGUGAUUAAGCAGAUCUGGAUAGACCUCUUUUAUAUUAUAUAAAAAUUAUAAAGUUCAAACAACCCUUCAUGUACGAGACAAUUGUUGGCUUUUGUUUUAAUUGUUGUUGCAUAGGACGCAACUCCCUCAAGUGCGGAAGUUAACGGUAAGCUCCUUAGAGUGCUGCCAUAGUGGGAUGAAACUUGAAAGAGUUAAUUUGUUUCAUCAAAAAUUAUUUUCAAUUAUUAUGCACAAUUAGACUCUUAAAAUGGGUAAUACAACCUAUUCAACUGUUAAUCCUAAAUCAAAAUACCAAUUAAAAGCAUAGAUGCUUAUGUCACAUGUUUGGAAUUUAAGUUGAGUUGUGUACAGCUUUAGGCUCCAACAACUAAAUGUUAAUGCCUAAGUUCAGCCUCAAUGAGAGCUUAAAUGUAUGCAAGGUGGAAGCGAUUGGAUGACUAAGGGAAGGAUGCUAGCAAGUUGGUGUCUUGCAAAUAUUUGAGUGAUGUGCAAGUGUAUACAAUCGUUAACAAGUAAUAAAGUAGUAAGUAUGGAGUAUCGUCUGCACAUGGACUGUAUACGCAAAUAUUAUGAAAUAAGAUUUAGAAAAUUGGCCGACGAAAUAAUUAAGGGUGAAUUAAACUAACUAAUCUAGGUCUAACUGUCAUGAUUUUAUUCUACUGAAUAAACAACCAAGGCACAUAACAUCGUUAACAUUUUAACAAAUCUAAGCCAAAGAACAUAAUCAAUUUAACAACAAUAAAUUUAAGUCAUUAUGACUAAGUUGAAAAUAAAAAAAAUAUUUGACAAGCAGGUUCAUCAAUGCAAAACAAAAUAAAAGUAAAAAAAAAGGAAGAAUAAGAAGACAAAUCCAGUGUUUUUCUACUCGUGCUCCCCUCCUUCCUUCUUCCUACUUUGCUCUCUUGCACAAAUGUGUUUAGGAAUGCUGAAAUUUGCUGCUCAACAAGCCUUUGAAUUGUUUCUCUCAACUUUCUAUUAUUUUCUCUCAAAUGGGAAGUAGAAGAAAGGAAGAUAGGAGAAGAGAAGAUAAGCUAG
rnacentral:lncRNA from 1 species